AGCAGAUCCAUAUCCUACCCCCGGAGCCCUAUUGAUGGGCGAUGCAUUCAAUAUGCGUCACCCUCUAACUGGCGGAGGGAUGACUGUUGCAUUGUCUGACAUUGUUGUUCUAAGAGAUCUUCUCAAGCCUCUGCGUGAUCUGAAUGAUGCACCCACUCUCUGCAAGUAUCUCGAAGCAUUCUACACACUACGCAAGCCAGUGGCUUCGACUAUAAACACGUUGGCAGGUGCCCUAUACAAGGU
rnacentral:misc_RNA from 1 species